AAUUUAUGAUUUAUGAAUAUGCCUGUUAACAAAUCACCUAUGAUUAAUACAUGUGGAGGCAUAUCUUCCCCUUAUCAUGAAGAGCUCUGGAAAUUAAAUUUUCAACAUUUAAGUGGAGAAAGGGGUCAUAAAUCAAGAUUAUUUCCUUGGGAUAAAGUUUCUACAAUGAGUGCAAGAGCAAUUGAAAAGAACUUUCACAAAGACUUUACAGUCACAAAUAUUAUACUUUUUCUAGUUGUUUUCUGUGCUAUCCUUGUGCCAAUACCAUAGUGAUCCAUAUUGUAAAAAAAAGUAGCAGGAAAAGUUGUUAUCCACCUAGAAUCCUACAGAGAAGAAAAUAAAAUUCAAAAUAUAUCAU
rnacentral:sRNA from 1 species